UACGUAGGGUGCAAGCGUUGUCCGGAAUCAUUGGGCGUAAAGAGCUCGUAGGCGGUCUGUCGCGUCUGCUGUGAAAACCUGGGGCUUAACCCUGGGCUUGCAGUGGGUACGGGCAGACUAGAGUGCGGUAGGGGAGACUGGAAUUCCUGGUGUAGCGGUGAAAUGCGUAGAUAUCAGGAGGAACACCGAUGGCGAAGGCAGGUCUCUGGGCUGACACUGACGCUCAUGCACGAAAGCGUGGGGAGCAAACAGG
rnacentral:rRNA from 1 species